rnacentral:lncRNA from 1 species
UCACCGUGAUAAUAACAGCAGUGACAACAAUCCUGGGAUAUUGGGCUUUUCAUUUCCAAGAGAGAAAUAGGAAGCACAUGCAUUUGGCCAGGAAGAAGACUUCAGCUAUUGAUGGGAGGGCCCUCUUUCUAGAAGGCAGAGAACAAUGGACUAGCCAGACAGGAAGGAGAGCGGCCCAGAGGGCAGUAAGGAGUGGGCAUCUGGGGCCCAGGGUUGGGAAGAACACUUCUGUUUGGCUUCCUUCCUCUUCUAGGGCAUGGCUAAGGUGGCCAACCUGCAUGCACCCCAGAAGAGGAAGAUAAGUAGGCCCAUGGGACUUUAUUAUGGAGGCUGAGGCUUUCACUGGCCUGAUUAACCCAUUUUCUGGGAAUGAGCACUUUGGGAGGAUAACAAUCAAAGGAGCCCCAGAGGACACGUGACAGGCUGGGGCCAUCAGAACUACUGAUCCGUGGGUACUAUCCGGCUUACUGAAUCAUGAAACACAGGUUAAAUUAAGGGUUGUCACACAUUUGGCUAAUUGGCCAAUAAGAACAGCAAUUAAUAGAGGUCAGGCAAUUCAACUGCAUCUGUGGCCAUGACUAUCAGAGCCCUUGGAAACAGCAGUGAUUUCAAGUGAAAUCUAAAUCAGCAGUGUUUCAGGUGACCUAGAGCAGGGCCCACGGCCCAUAGCCCAUAUGUUAGCACUUCCUGAAGGUUUUCUUCCACCCAAAUCCACAUGUUGGGACCCAGGGGAAGGUGUAGCAAAGCCAGUGACCAUUGUGUAAUCUUUGUUUUUUCUAUUUGACACUUUGUCAAAAAACACAUUC